AUAUAUGUUAAGUGGAAAAGGAUGUGGCGUUGCCCAGACAACUAGGAUGUUGGCUUAGAAGCAGCCAUCAUUUAAAGAGUGCGUAAUAGCUCACUAGUCGAGUGACACUGCGCCGAAAAUGUACCGGGGCUAAACAUAUUACCGAAGCUGUGGAUUGUCCUUUGGACAAUGGUAGGAGAGCGUUCUAAGGGCGUUGAAGCAUGAUCGUAAGGACAUGUGGAGCGCUUAGAAGUGAGAAUGCCGGUGUGAGUAGCGAAAGACGGGUGAGAAUCCCGUCCACCGAUUGACUAAGGUUUCCAGAGGAAGGCUCGUCCGCUCUGGGUUAGUCGGGUCCUAAGCUGAGGCCGACAGGCGUAGGCGAUGGAUAACAGGUUGAUAUUCCUGUACCACCUAUAAUCGUUUUAAUCGAUGGGGGGACGCAGUAGGAUAGGCGAAGCGUGCGAUUGGAUUGCACGUCUAAGCAGUAAGGCUGAGUAUUAGGCAAAUCCGGUACUCGUUAAGGCUGAGCUGUGAUGGGGAGAAGACAUUGUGUCUUCGAGUCGUUGAUUUCACACUGCCGAGAAAAGCCUCUAGAUAGAAAAUAGGUGCCCGUACCGCAAACCGACACAGGUAGUCAAGAUGAGAAUUCUAAGGUGAGCGAGCGAACUCUCGUUAAGGAACUCGGCAAAAUGACCCCGUAACUUCGGGAGAAGGGGUGCUCUUUAGGGUUAACGCCCAGAAGAGCCGCAGUGAAUAGGCCCAAGCGACUGUUUAUCAAAAACACAGGUCUCUGCUAAACCGUAAGGUGAUGUAUAGGGGCUGACGCCUGCCCGGUGCUGGAAGGUUAAGAGGAGUGGUUAGCUUCUGCGAAGCUACGAAUCGAAGCCCCAGUAAACGGCGGCCGUAACUAUAACGGUCCUAAGGUAGCGAAAUUCCUUGUCGGGUAAGUUCCGACCCGCACGAAAGGCGUAACGAUUUGGGCACUGUCUCAACGAGAGACUCGGUGAAAUCAUAGUACCUGUGAAGAUGCAGGUUACCCGCGACAGGACGGAAAGACCCCGUGGAGCUUUACUGUAGCCUGAUAUUGAAAUUCGGCACAGCUUGUACAGGAUAGGUAGGAGCCUUUGAAACGUGAGCGCUAGCUUACGUGGAGGCGCUGGUGGGAUACUACCCUAGCUGUGUUGGCUUUCUAACCCGCACCACUUAUCGUGGUGGGAGACAGUGUCAGGCGGGCAGUUUGACUGGGGCGGUCGCCUCCUAAAAGGUAACGGAGGCGCUCAAAGGUUCCCUCAGAAUGGUUGGAAAUCAUUCAUAGAGUGUAAAGGCAUAAGGGAGCUUGACUGCGAGACCUACAAGUCGAGCAGGGUCGAAAGACGGACUUAGUGAUCCGGUGGUUCCGCAUGGAAGGGCCAUCGCUCAACGGAUAAAAGCUACCCCGGGGAUAACAGGCUUAUCUCCCCCAAGAGUUCACAUCGACGGGGAGGUUUGGCACCUCGAUGUCGGCUCAUCGCAUCCUGGGGCUGUAGUCGGUCCCAAGGGUUGGGCUGUUCGCCCAUUAAAGCGGUACGCGAGCUGGGUUCAGAACGUCGUGAGACAGUUCGGUCCCUAUCCGUCGUGGGCGUAGGAAAUUUGAGAGGAGCUGUCCUUAGUACGAGAGGACCGGGAUGGACAUACCUCUGGUGUACCAGUUGUCGUGCCAACGGCAUAGCUGGGUAGCUAUGUGUGGACGGGAUAAGUGCUGAAAGCAUCUAAGCAUGAAGCCCCCCUCAAGAUGAGAUUUCCCAACUUCGGUUAUAAGAUCCCUCAAAGAUGAUGAGGUUAAUAGGUUCGAGGUGGAAGCAUGGUGACAUGUGGAGCUGACGAAUACUAAUCGAUCGAAGACUUAAUCAA
rnacentral:rRNA from 1 species